rnacentral:pre_miRNA from 1 species
UUAUGAUGAUGAUGAUGAUGAUGAUGAUGAUGAUGAUGAUGAUCCCCCCCACCACCAUUAUUAUUAUUAUUAUCAUUAUCAUUAUCAUCAGUAUCAUCAUCAUUAUUG